rnacentral:rRNA from 1 species
UACGAAGGGGGCUAGCGUUGUUCGGAUUUACUGGGCGUAAAGCGCACGUAGGCGGAUCGUUAAGUGAGGGGUGAAAUCCCAGGGCUCAACCCUGGAACUGCCUUUCAUACUGGCGAUCUUGAGUCCGGAAGAGGUGAGUGGAACUCCGAGUGUAGAGGUGAAAUUCGUAGAUAUUCGGAAGAACACCAGUGGCGAAGGCGGCUCACUGGUCCGGUACUGACGCUGAUGUGCGAAAGCGUGGGGAGCAAACAGG